UGGGGAAUUGUUCGCAAUGGGCGCAAGCCUGACGACGCAACGCCGCGUGGAGGAUGAAGAUCUUCGGGUCGUAAACUCCUGUCGAGCGGGAAGAAUUCCUGGCCGGCUAACAUCCAGCCAGGUUGACAGUACCGCUAAAGGAAGCCCCGGCUAACUCCGUGCCAGCAGCCGCGGUAAUACGGGGGGGGCAAGCGUUGUUCGGAAUUACUGGGCGUAAAGGGCUCGUAGGCGGCCAACUAAGUCAGACGUGAAAUCCCCAGGCUCAACCUGGGAACUGCGUCUGAUACUGAUUGGCUUGAAUCCGGGAGAGGGAUGCAGAAUUCCAGGUGUAGCGGUGAAAUGCGUAGAUAUCUGGAGGAAUACCGGUGGCGAAGGCGGCAUCCUGGACCGGCAUUGACGCUGAGGAGCGAAAGCUAGGGGAGCAAACGGGAUUAGAUACCCCGGUAGUCCUAGCCCUAAACGAUGAAUGCUUGGUGUGACGGGUAUCGAUCCCUGUCGUGCCGAAGCUAACGCAUUAAGCAUUCCGCCUGGGGAGUACGGUCGCAAGGCUGC
rnacentral:rRNA from 1 species